UUGAAGGGGAGAGCUUGUGCUACUCUUGGUGACUUUUAUUCAAGAUUUGGACUCCCAACCCGGAGUACCACCUCGACGCGAAAACUAGAAGCACUAUUGUGGGGUACGAGUAACGCGAGAGACUUGAUAAAGACUAGUGUAGCCUUUUGUUUUGACUUUUGAAUUUUGGUUUUGUACUCGCGCUAUUCCCCGAACGAAACAUGUUGUACUUGGAUUGUAUACGUUUUGGUACUAGUUGGUGUAUUAAGACUUUGUACCUGAUUCCUAUCGAUGUAAACUAUAAGUUUGAAUCGUGAAUAUUAUUUAUGGUGCAUGGUUGUGUAUA